rnacentral:rRNA from 1 species
GGGGGAAUAUGGGACAAUGGGCGCAAGCCUGAUCCAGCCAUGCCGGGGGAGUGAUGAAGGCCCUAGGGUUGUAAAGCUCUUUCACCGGUGAAGAUAAUGACGGUAACCGGAGAAGAAGCACCGGCUAACUUCGUGCCAGCAGCCGCGGUAAUACGAAGGGGGCUAGCGUUGUUCGGAUUUACUGGGCGUAAAGCGCACGUAGGCGGAGUUUUAAGUCAGGGGUGAAAGCCCGGGGCUCAACCACGGAACUGCCUUUGAUACUGGAAGUCUUGAGUAGGGUAGAGGUGAGUGGAAUUCCGCGUGUUGAGGUGAAAUUCGUCGUUAUUCGGAGGAACACCAGUGGCGAAGGCGGCUCACUGGACCAUUACUGCCGCUGCGGUGCGAAAGCGUGGGGAGCAAACAGG